UAGGGAAUCUUCCGCAAUGGGCGAAAGCCUGACGGAGCAACGCCGCGUGAGUGAUGAAGGUCUUCGGAUCGUAAAACUCUGUUAUUAGGGAAGAACAAAUGUGUAAGUAACUAUGCACGUCUUGACGGUACCUAAUCAGAAAGCCACGGCUAACUACGUGCCAGCAGCCGCGGUAAUACGUAGGUGGCAAGCGUUAUCCGGAAUUAUUGGGCGUAAAGCGCGCGUAGGCGGUUUUUUAAGUCUGAUGUGAAAACCCACGGCUCAACCGUGGAGGGUCAUUGGAAACUGGAAAACUUGAGUGCAGAAGAGGAAAGUGGAAUUCCAUGUGUAGCGGUGAAAUGCGCAGAGAUAUGGAGGAACACCAGUGGCGAAGGCGACUUUCUGGUCUGUAACUGACGCUGAUGUGCGAAAGCGUGGGGAUCAAACAGG
rnacentral:rRNA from 1 species